rnacentral:rRNA from 1 species
CAUGUGAACGUUACCAAACUGUUGCCUCGGCGGGAUCUCUGCCCCGGGUGCGUCGCAGCCCCGGACCAAGGCGCCCGCCGGAGGACCAACCAAAACUCUUAUUGUAUACCCCCUCGCGGGUUUUUUUAUAAUCUGAGCCUUCUCGGCGCCUCUCGUAGGCGUUUCGAAAAUGAAUCAAAACUUUCAACAACGGAUCUCUUGGUUCUGGCAUCGAUGAAGAACGCAGCGAAAUGCGAUAAGUAAUGUGAAUUGCAGAAUUCAGUGAAUCAUCGAAUCUUUGAACGCACAUUGCGCCCGCCAGUAUUCUGGCGGGCAUGCCUGUCCGAGCGUCAUUUCAACCCUCGAACCCCUCCGGGGGGUCGGCGUUGGGGAUCGGCCCUGCCUUGGCGGUGGCCGUCUCCGAAAUACAGUGGCGGUCUCGCCGCAGCCUCUCCUGCGCAGUAGUUUGCACACUCGCAUCGGGAGCGCGGCGCGUCCACAGCCGUUAAACACCCAACUUCUGAAAUGUUGACCUCGGAUCAGGUAGGAAUACCCGCUGAACUUAAGCAUAUC